AGAGCGAACGCUGGCGGCAGGCCUAACACAUGCAAGUCGAGCGCCCCGCAAGGGGAGCGGCAGACGGGAGAGUAACACGUGGGAACGUACCCUUUGGUUCGGAACAACACAGGGAAACUUGUGCUAAUACCGGAUAAGCCCUUACGGGGAAAGAUUUAUUGCCAAAGGAUCGGCCCGCGUCUGAUUAGCUUGUUGGUGAGGUAACGGCUCACCAAGGCUACGAUCAGUAGCUGGUCUGAGAGGAUGAUCAGCCUCACUGGGACUGAGACACGGCCCAGACUCCUACGGGAGGCAGCAGUGGGGAAUAUUGGACAAUGGCGCAAGCCUGAUCCAGCCAUGCCGCGUGGAUGAUGAAGGCCCUAGGGUUGUAAAGUCCUUUCGACGGGGAAGAUAAUGACGGUACCCGUAGAAGAAGCCCCGGCUAACUUCGUGCCAGCAGCCGC
rnacentral:rRNA from 1 species